rnacentral:rRNA from 1 species
AGAGUGAACGCUGGCGGUAGGCCUAACACAUGCAAGUCGAACGGCAGCACAGUAAGAGCUUGCUCUUAUGGGUGGCGAGUGGCGGACGGGUGAGGAAUACAUCGGAAUCUACCUUUUCGUGGGGGAUAACGUAGGGAAACUUACGCUAAUACCGCAUAAGACCUUCGGGUGAAAGCCGGGGACCUUCGGGGCCUGGCGCGGAUAGAUGAGCCGAUGUCGGAUUAGCUUGUUGGCGGGGUAAAAGCCCACCAAGGCGACGAUCCGUA